UACGGGGGGGGCAAGCGUUGUUCGGAAUUACUGGGCGUAAAGGGUUCGUAGGUGGCCAACUAAGUCAGACGUGAAAUCCCUCAGCUUAACCGGGGAACUGCGUCUGAUACUGGAUGGCUUGAGAUUGGGAGAGGGACGCGGAAUUCCAGGUGUAGCGGUGAAAUGCGUAGAUAUCUGGAGGAACACCGGUGGCGAAGGCGGCGUCCUGGACCAACACUGACACUGAUGAGCGAAAGCCAGGGGAGCAAACGGG
rnacentral:rRNA from 1 species